GUGAGACUUUUUUUUGACUUUUUGUUUCACAAAUUAUUUUUAGUAUACCAAAAUUAGCCAUGAAGCAGAUGAUGAUCUCAGCAAUGAUGUUAACUAUCAUGAUUUACUCUAGCCAUGGAGAGGAAAUGUCAAAUGAUCACUGAAGCAAGCAGAGACAAAUUCAGAAUUUAGAAUCAGGUUCAGAUUUUAAAUGUUUUAAGUGUUAUGUAAUUAAUAUCAAAAGUUGUUGAGGUCGAUGAACCUGCUCUAAAUCUGCCUCUGAAUGUGUUGGAUACUCAACAAGAGUCCAUCAAGUCAAAUGAAGUGUACAGGUAAAGCAUGGACUCAAGUGAAGAUUAAAAGUACUUUUUAAGUUUCAAAUGCUAAUUAGAAGAGUGCUCACUUCUCAGA